AGACAACUCCGUCAGUGCUAUUUACACUCUGGACUAGCCUUUACCCGAGGUCACAUGCUUGCUGUCUCUUUCCCCUUCCCUGUCUUUUCCUCUGUCUCAUAUAGGUUUUUCCUAAAGAGAACUUUCACAGUAAAUCAUAUGUGCCUGAAUUCCUAUCUCAGGCCCUGCUUCUAGGGAAUUCUACUUAAGGUGGGCCCAAUGUAACGCAAGAAGCAGCAGGAGGCAAAACAAGACAGUAUAUGAGGGCUGCCCGCAGGAGAAAGAAUUGAUUGUCCAGGGCAUUAGUAGAUGGAAUGGGGCUAUGAGCCAAUGAAUGCUGGCAGCUUCUAGACUCUAGAAAAAGCACGGAGAUGGAUUUUCCCUUAGGACCUCCAGAAGGAAAGCUCUCCAUCAGACUUCUGACCUACAGAACUGAGGAUUUCCUACACAGCACAAUUGGGCUCCUGAGACAUCUACACAGUUAUACAUCUGAAGGUGGGUGGAUUGGAUCCCUGGGAAACAGUAGAACUAGGGUGCAGAUGGGGUCUCAGCAACUCAUAUGGGAGUUCCCAUUUGUUCACGCAGGACUUCACACGACUUCUGGAAAUCUCAACGGAGUGAAUCAAAGGUUGUUUAUAUUUCUGUUGGACUACAUUUUGGAUUUUGUAAAUUCAAGAGGAAAACAUGCAUCAGAUCCGUUUAUUUAAAGCAAUGUAGUGAUCAGAAGAACAAUUGAUUAUUUAAAGGUAAAUGGAUUUGGUCAGCAAAAUCAAAUGAUCUUGGAAACAUCAGCUUGAUAAACAUACAAAUGAACUUUAACCUGUGCUAAAUGCUUUUUAUUUCCUGAGAAUUAUUGAACAACGUUUUCAGGGAAAGUUAAAUAGAUUCACUACAAACUGUUACAUCUAGACUCUUUUUCAAUUUACACAAGGUUAUAUAUUGUUAUGGCAAAAUGAUACUAUUUUAAUAUAUUUCAUUUCAAUAUAUUAGUUCAGAAACUUUAUUCUGUGCUAUUUACAUUUCAAAUGUCUUAAGCAUAGAGAAGAAAAUUGAAUGUCCUAUUAGGGGAGAUAUUUAAGCAUCUAAACUUUAAUCUUAUUGUUAAAUACAUGGGUUUAGGCAUUUCUUCAAAAAAAAAAAAAAGAAAGGUAUAGAUUUGUAAGUAUAAGUAAAGGCACCAAAUCAAAUCCUGGAAGGGAAACUUCAGAGGGUUAGAAGAGGUUCAAAUAUAUGCAUCAGGAUCUCAACCUCAAAACUUACAUACAGUAGCAUAUUUUAACAAUUGUUAAAGCAUGUAGGAAAGUUCAAGGAUAAUGGUCAGUUAGUUGCUGUACACGGUCAAGUGCUAAAACACAAAUCCAGUUAAUAUGUAUGGAAGUGAUUAUAUGAUAAAGAAUAAGUCAGUUGUGAGCCGCAGAAACGUGUUGUUUAUACGCAAUGGGCUGAACAGAAAAGCGAAGAACCGUAGCUUUACUGUGACACCAAAUGUAAAUAAGAACCUAAAAUGCUGCAAGAAACUGACGACAGCCCCUUAGUUCCUACGUGGACGCUCUGUCUUGAACAAUUUAAAAAUCUCAUCUCCGAGGGUCAGUUAGCUCGGUUGGUUAGAGCAUGGUGCUAAAAAAAUAUCAUCUCAUCCAGAGAGGUUACAGUGAUUAGCUCAUUUAAUGACAAUACUAUUAUUAAGAAUAAGCAUUUAUUAGCAAGCACACUGAUAGGUAUUUCAUAUUUAUUCUCUCAUUUAACCCUUGCAACAAUUCUCAGAUGUUCCAUUAUCCCUAUUUCAAAGCUCUUUAAACUAAGGCACAUAGAAAUAUAAUAACUUGCCCAGGGUCACUCACUGGAAGUGACAGAACCAGGAUUCAGUCAUAAAUCCUUUUGACUCUGGGGAUCAUGCUCUUAACUACUUUAAUCUGUUACCUCUCUU
rnacentral:lncRNA from 1 species